GGUAACCAAUUUUAUAGUGAAUGGAGUAAAUUGAUCAUAUGAAAAGACAAAGAAAGACCCAAAUUGAAUUUCACAAUUAAAAUAAUAGGAUAAGAGAAAGGUUCCAAACUUAUCAUCUUUAGCCCAGAUGAUUAACUAAAGUAGCUGUAGGCUUUUAAAAUGAUCUGCUUGGUUACGUAUCAUGCUCUAUUGAUGCAAGUAUAAACUAAAGGUCAAACUCAUAUGUAAGGAACUGCCCUCUCUUUA
rnacentral:misc_RNA from 1 species